AGGGAGGAUAGGUGGAGAAGAAGAGGUGGAUUAAUUCACUUACCUCUGAUGUCACAAUCUCACUACAGAACAAUGGACUGUUCGUAUGGCUUCAGUAGGUGAAGCAGAGUUGAGAAAAGAAGAGGAAAGAGCAGUAGAACAGAAGGGGAAAGAAAGGUUAGGUGCACAAGAGCACCAAUCGUACUCGUCCUAAAAUGGAGGCCAUAAUGCUAGACACUGACGAGCCAGUUCUUGAACAACUGUUAGUCAGUUCUGAGAAAUCAGCUUGGACGAAACAUCCAAGUGACACCUUUUCCAGACAAACGAUGGCUGAACACGUUUCUUGUUACAAUCAUAUAUAUCUCAACUCCAUCAACGACUCCUAUUUUACAAGUGGCUUAUCCAGAUUCCUUGGCUGCUAAUCAUCAUCAUCCUCUGGUUGAAAAUUUUUCUCCAUCUCCAGUUUCCCUCAUCUGUGCUAAAAAAUUCCUCCUCCAUCACCACCAGCAAUGGCUCUCAACCUUGGACUCAAAUUCUCGAUUCCACCUCCCACACAAUGAAUCCAUGCUAGCUCCUGAAUUCCACAGUCUUGCACCAUGCUCUCGUGUGG